UGGGGAAUAUUGCACAAUGGGCGAAAGCCUGAUGCAGCGACGCCGCGUGCGGGAUGAAGGCCUUCGGGUUGUAAACCGCUUUUGAUUGGGAGCAAGCGAGAGUGAGUGUACCUUUCGAAUAAGCACCGGCUAACUACGUGCCAGCAGCCGCGGUAAUACGUAGGGUGCAAGCGUUAUCCGGAAUUAUUGGGCGUAAAGAGCUCGUAGGCGGUUUGUCGCGUCUGGUGUGAAAGUCCAUCGCUUAACGGUGGAUCUGCGCCGGGUACGGGCAGGCUAGAGUGCGACAGGGGAGACUGGAAUUCCCGGUGUAACGGUGGAAUGUGUAGAUAUCGGGAAGAACAC
rnacentral:rRNA from 1 species